rnacentral:rRNA from 1 species
UACCAGGAGCUAUAGGGAAAGCACCAUAAGGGAAAGAUGCUUUUUUACAUUAUAAAAUUUUUUUUCAAAGACUAAAACUUUUACCUUUUGCAUAAUGAUUUAACCAGAAAACCCUUGACAAGAAGAAUUUAAGCCAAGCACCCCGAAACCAGAUGAGCUACUUAUGAGCAGCUAAUAAGAGCUCAUCUGUCUAUGUUGCAAAACAGGGGAAUGACUUAUAAGUAGAGGUGAAAAGCCUAGGCAGCCUGGUGAUAGUUGGUUGUCCAGAUUAGAAUUUUAGAUCUACUUUAAAUUUACCUGAAGCACAAGCAAGCCAAAUGUAAUUUUAAAUGUUAAUCUAAACAGGGACAGCUCUUUAGAAUCAAGGAAAAACCUUAGAGAGUAAAUUUGCUAAUUUCCAUAGUUGGCCUAAAAGCAGUCUUCAAUUGAAAAAGCAUUCAAACUUAACCUAAUCAUCAAAACUUAAUACCUAACUCUCAAUAACCUCCUAAACCAACACUGGACUAAUCUAUUUUUCUUAUAGAAGAAAUUAUGUUAAAAUGAGUAACAAGAAGAUAGUUCUCCCUGCAUAAGUUUAUAUCAGACCGAAUAAUUUACUGAUGUAAUUAACAAAUUCAUAAUAUUAAAUAAAUCAUAAAACCAUUAUUAAUAACAUUGUUAAACCAACACUGGUAUGCACUUAAGGGAAAGAUUUAAAAAAGUAAAAGGAACUCGGCAAACAUUAACCCCGCCUGUUUACCAAAAACAUCACCUCUAGCAUAAUCAGUAUUAGAGGAACUGCCUGCCAAGUGACACAUGUUUAACCCAUACAAAGGUAGCAUAAUCACUUGUUCUUUAAAUAGGGACUAGUAUGAAUGGCUUGACAAGGGUUUAACUGUCUCUUACUUUUAAUCAGUGAAAUUGACCUUCCCAUGAAGAGGCAGGAAUAUUCUAAUAAGAUGAGAAGACCCUAUGGAGCUUAAAUUUAAUGGUCUAACAGCCUUAACUUCACCUACGGGGUCAAAAUUAUUGUUAACAGACUAAAAUUUUUGGUUGGGGUGACCUCGGAGUACAAAUAAGCCUCUGAAUGAUAAUCAUCUAGACAUAACAUGUCCAAAUUACGACUCAUCAGUUGACCCAAACUAUUGAUCAAUAGAACAAGUUACCCUAGGGAUAACAGUGCAAUCCUACUCAAGAGUUCAUAUCGACAGUUUAGGGUUUACGACCUUGAUGUUGGAUCAGGACAUCCAAAUAGUGUAACCGCUAUUAAUGGUUCCUUUGUUCAAUGAUUAAAAUCCUAUGUGAUCUGAGUUCAGACCCGAGAAAUCCAGGUCGGUUUCUAUCUAUUACUGUAUUUCUCCCAGUACG